rnacentral:rRNA from 1 species
CGAACGCUGGCGGCAUGCCUAACACAUGCAAGUCGAACGAGACCUUCGGGUCUAGUGGCGCACGGGUGCGUAACGCGUGGGAACCUGCCCUUAGGUUCGGAAUAACUCCCCGAAAGGGGUGCUAAUACCGGAUAAUGUCUUCGGACCAAAGAUUUAUCGCCUUUGGAUGGGCCCGCGUUGGAUUAGCUAGUUGGUAGGGUAAAAGCCUACCAAGGCGACGAUCCAUAGCUGGUCUGAGAGGAUGAUCAGCCGCACUGGGACUGAGACACGGCCCAGACUCCUACGGGAGGCAGCAGUGGGGAAUAUUGGACAAUGGGCGAAAGCCUGAUCCAGCAAUGCCGCGUGAGUGAUGAAGGCCUUAGGGUUGUAAAGCUCUUUUACCCGGGAUGAUAAUGACAGUACCGGGAGAAUAAGCUCCGGCUAACUCCGUG